UUUUUACGGAGAGUUUGAUCCUGGCUCAGGACGAACGCUGGCGGCGUGCUUAACACAUGCAAGUCGAACGAUGAUCAGGAGCUUGCUCCUGUGAUUAGUGGCGAACGGGUGAG
rnacentral:rRNA from 2 species